CAGUAGCCGCGGUAAAACGAAGGGUGCAAGCGUUAAUCGGAAUUACUGGGCGUAAAGCGUGCGUAGGCGGUGAGUUAAGUCUGCUGUGAAAUCCCCGGGCUUAACCUGGGAACUGCGCUUGUGACCGCACAGCUAGAGUAUGGCAGAGGGGGGUGGAAUUCCACGUGUAGCAGUGAAAUGCGUAGAGAUGUGGAGGAACACCGAUGGCGAAGGCAGCCCCCUGGGCCAAUACUGACGCUCAUGCACGAAAGCGUGGGGAGCAAACAGGAUUAGAUACCCGAGUAGUUCCUGUCUCUUAUAC
rnacentral:rRNA from 1 species